AACAAAAACGAUAGGUUCCACCGAGAUUUGAACUCGGGUCGCAGGAUUCAAAGUCCUGAGUGCUAACCGCUACACCAUGGAACCGGACGAA
rnacentral:tRNA from 1 species